rnacentral:rRNA from 1 species
UACGGAGGGUGCGAGCGUUGCCCGGAAUCAUUGGGCGUAAAGGGCGCGUAGGUGGCUUCUUAAGCGUGCGGUGAAAGCCUGGGGCUCAACCCCGGGUCGGCCGUGCGAACUGGGGGGCUGGAGCACUGUAGAGGCAGGCGGAAUUCCGGGUGUAGCGGUGGAAUGCGUAGAGAUCCGGAAGAACACCGGUGGCGAAGGCGGCCUGCUGGGCAGUUGCUGACACUGAGGCGCGACAGCGUGGGGAGCAAACAGG